ensembl:lncRNA
GGACUAUUGAACUGUUUGAGGUUCAGCUCCAGAGGACUAUUAGAUUAAGAUCCGGUCCUGAGGACUAUUACUCACAGUUUUAGAUCCAUUUUAGUGGACUAUAAAACUGUUGAAGGUCUGUCCAUUAGACAAUUACACAGUUUAAGGUCAUCACAAGAGGACUAUUGUAUCAAGGUAAUCUCCAGGGUAGUAUUGGAUCAAGUUCACCUCCAGAGGACUAUUGGAUCAAGGUCAGCUCCAGAGGACUACUGGAUCAAGGUCAGCUCCAGAGGACUAUUGGAUCAAGGUCAGCUCCAGAGGACUACUGGAUCAAGGUCAGCUCCAGAGGACUAUUGGAUCAAAGUCAGCUCCAGAGGACUAUUGGAUCAAGGUCAGCUCCAGAGGACUAUUGGAUCAAGGUCAGCUCCAGGGGACUAUUGAAUCAAGGUCAGCUCCAGGGGACUAUUAGAUCAAGGUCAGCUCCAGGGGACUAUUGGAUCAAGGUCAGCUCCAGUGGACAGUUAAAUAAAGUUUGACACAACGAUAGAAAACUACAAACCACAGGCCUCCGCAUCCAUAACGCUUACUGUUAGUCCUUCUCUCUUCUUCAUCCAUAACGCUUCCUGUUAGUCCUUCUCUCUUCUUCAUCCAUAACGCUUACUGUUAGUCCUUCUCUCUUCUUCAUCCAUAACGCUUACUGUUAGUCCUUCUCUCUUCUUCAUCCAUAACGCUUACUGUUAGUCCUUCUCUCUUCUUCAUCCAUAACGCUUCCUGUUAGUCCUUCUCUCUUCUUCAUCCAUAAUGCUUCUUAUUCCGCCUCUCCUCCUCCAUAGUACUUUCUGUUCCUUCUUUCCUCCUCCUUCUCUUGUAAAGUCAUGUUAAAUAUAUCCCAGCUUGGAGGUAUGUUCUCUAAGAAGUGACCAGCUGCUGCUAAGUGUGUGAGUCAGCUCAGCGCUCUGCUGUGCUCCAGGCUGUAAUGCAGCUACCCUGGUCACUGUUUGAGAGGAGAAAGUCCUAAGCAGGCAGACAAAGGAUCUCCCCUCAUACCCACAGUGCAUUGUCUCACUUGCAUGGCUACUCAGAGUCCUUGUUCCGGGCAAACACUGUGCCCAGGGACAUUUCUUUUUUUCUCUGCAAAACAUGUCUGGAUAUGAACAGACUCCCCUGAAUCAUCUGAAACCUAUGGUCUGGGCCAGAAGCAGAAUCUCAGUAGUGUGGGACCAGUGAAAGUUCUCACGGACUGCCCAAGUCUGGGGCCAAUGCCAGUACCCACCGCAGAGCCCAUCCAUCCAGUGGGAAGCAACCGUCACACUGUGGAACGCAACCUCAGCUAGUCUGGGCUGGACGGGCCAGUUAACCCCUGGCCAGCUCACCCACCGCCACUCAGACAACAGUGGGCAUGAUACAGUAUAAGUGGAUUACCUUGAAACAGGACGGAAAUGCAAAUGCAGUGAAUGUUGUAAAAACCCAUGAGACAAUUCAGUGAGCAGCAUUCGCAAUUAGCCAACGAAAAGAGAAACAGUGGUUGUCUAUAAGAUAGGGUGUGUGUGGGAGAAAUGGGAUAUUAGAUUCAGG